GCUGCUAUGGCUCAGUAGGCAGAGCACAUCCUUGGUAAGGAUGAGGUCACCGGUUCGAAUCCGGUUAGCAGCUCCA
rnacentral:tRNA from 1 species